rnacentral:tRNA from 1 species
GGAGGGUUGGCCGAGCGGUUUAAGGCACCGGUCUUGAAAACCGGCAACGGGGCAACCCGUUCGUGAGUUCGAAUCUCACACCCUCCGCCA